rnacentral:lncRNA from 1 species
UACAGGAAUUAGAACAACAGUUGCAGUCAGAAAAUGAAACUGCUCAAGAGCAAACGGAACAUUUACAGUCAUUACUGGAUGAAGAAAAACGUUUGAAGGAAGAAGCUAAUCAUGAUGUACUCAAAACACGUGAGGUAUAUAAAGAUCUAUUUAUACGAGAUGAAAUUUUUUGCCUCUAGUCUUCCCUAUAGCCAACCAAUCAUAGUUGUAUUUUCUUCAACGGUGUUUUAGGAGCUCCAGACUCUGAGUGAUAAUCACUACAGGCAAAAGACCACCCUCAUCGCACAGAUACAGG